UGGGGAAUAUUGCACAAUGGGCGAAAGCCUGAUGCAGCAACGCCGCGUGAGUGAUGAAGGUCUUCGGAUUGUAAAGCUCUGUCUUUUGGGACGAUAAUGACGGUACCAAAGGAGGAAGCCACGGCUAACUACGUGCCAGCAGCCGCGGUAAUACGUAGGUGGCGAGCGUUGUCCGGAUUUACUGGGCGUAAAGGGUGCGUAGGCGGAUGUUUAAGUGAGAUGUGAAAUACCCGGGCUUAACUUGGGUGCUGCAUUUCAAACUGGAUAUCUAGAGUGCAGGAGNGGAGAAUGGAAUUCCUAGUGUAGCGGUGAAAUGCGUAGAGAUUAGGAAGAACACCAGUGGCGAAGGCGAUUCUCUGGACUGUAACUGACGCUGAGGCACGAAAGCGUGGGUAGCAAACAGGAUUAGAUACCCUGGUAGUCCACGCCGUAAACGAUGAGUACUAGGUGUAGGAGGUAUCGACCCCUUCUGUGCCGCA
rnacentral:rRNA from 1 species